UUCCGGUUGAUCCUGCCGGAGGCCAUUGCUAUCGGAGUCCGAUUUAGCCAUGCUAGUCGCGCGGGUUCAGACCCGCGGCGUAUAGCUCAGUAACACGUGGCCAAACUACCCUAUGGACAGGAACAACCUCGGGAAACUGAGGCUAAUCCCUGAUACAGCUCUCAUGCUGGAGUGCCGAGAGCUGGAAACGCCCCGGCGCCAUAGGAUGUGGCUGCGGCCGAUUAGGUAGAUGGUGGGGUAACGGCCCACCAUGCCAAUAAUCGGUACGGGUUGUGAGAGCAAGAGCCCGGAGACGGUAUCUGAGACAAGAUACCGGGCCCUACGGGGCGCAGCAGGCGCGAAACCUUUACACUGCACGACAGUGCGAUAAGGGGACUCCGAGUGCGAGGGCAUAUAGUCCUCGCUUUUCUGUACCGUAGGGAGGUACAGGAACAAGUGCUGGGCAAGACCGGUGCCAGCCGCCGCGGUAAUACCGGCAGCACGAGUGAUGGCCGAUAUUAUUGGGCCUAAAGCGUCCGUAGCCGGCCGUGCAAGUCCGUUGGGAAAUCGACGCGCUCAACGCGUCGGCGUCCAGCGGAAACUGUUCGGCUUGGGGCCGGAAGACCUGGGGGGUGCGUCCGGGGUAGGAGUGAAAUCCUGUAAUCCUGGACGGACCACCAAUGGCGAAAGCACCUCAGGAGGACGGACCCGACGGUGAGGGACGAAAGCUAGGGUCUCGAACCGGAUUAGAUACCCGGGUAGUCCUAGCUGUAAACGAUGCUCGCUAGGUGUGCCACAGGCUACGAGCCUGUGCUGCGCCCUAGGGAAGCCGAGAAGCGAGCCGCCUGGGAAGUACGUCUGCAAGGAUGAAACUUAAAGGAAUUGGCGGGGGAGCACCACAACCGGAGGAGCCUGCGGUUUAAUUGGACUCAACGCCGGU
rnacentral:rRNA from 1 species